rnacentral:rRNA from 1 species
UACGAAGGGGGCUAGCGUUGUUCGGAAUUACUGGGCGUAAAGCGCACGUAGGCGGAUUGACAAGUCAAUUGUGAAAGCCCCAGGCUCAACCUGGGAAUUGCAGUUGAAACUGUCUUUCUUGAAUAUCUGAGAGGGUGGGGGAAUACCUAGUGGAGAAGUGAAAUUCGUAGAGAUUAGGUGGAACACCAGAGGCGAAGGCGCCUGCCUGGCAGAAUAUUGACGCUGAGGUGCGAAAGUGUGGGGAGCAAACAGG